rnacentral:rRNA from 1 species
UCGGCAAUGGGCGAAAGCCUGACCGAGCGACGCCGCGUGUGCGAUGAAGGCCUUUUGGUUGUAAAGCACUGUCGAAGGGGAGCAAGCCGCAAGGUUGAGAGUACCCUUGGAGGAAGCACGGGCUAAGUUCGUGCCAGCAGCCGCGGUAAGACGAACCGUGCGAACGUUAUUCGGAAUCACUGGGCUUAAAGGGUGCGUAGGCGGGUGGACAAGUCGAGGGUGAAAGCCUCUAGCUUAACUAGAGAAGUGCCCUCGAUACUGUUUGUCUUGAGAGAGAUAGGGGCACACGGAACUUCCGGUGGAGCGGUGAAAUGCGUAGAUAUCGGAAGGAACGCCGGUGGCGAAAGCGAUGUGCUGGACCUCUUCUGACGCUGAGGCGCGAAAGCUAGGGGAUCAAACGGGAUUAGAUACCCCGGUAGUCCUAGCCCUAAACUAUGGGUACUAGAUUGUGGACUUUCAUGGGUUCACAGUCGAAGCAAAAGUGUUAAGUACCCCGCCUGGGGAGUAUGGUCGCAAGGCUGAAACUCAAAGGA